UACGGGGGGGGCAAGCGUUGUUCGGAAUUACUGGGCGUAAAGGGUUCGUAGGCGGCCAACUAAGUCAGACGUGAAAUCCCUCAGCUUAACUGGGGAACUGCGUCUGAUACUGGUCUGGCUUGAGUGCAGGAGAGGAACGCGGAAUUCCAGGUGUAGCGGUGAAAUGCGUAGAUAUCUGGAGGAACACCGGUGGCGAAGGCGGCGUUCUGGACUGCAACUGACACUGAGGAACGAAAGCCAGGGGAGCAAACGGG
rnacentral:rRNA from 1 species